rnacentral:rRNA from 1 species
UGCAGUCGAACGAGCUUCCGUUGAAUGACGUGCUUGCACUGAUUUCAACAAUGAAGCGAGUGGCGAACUGGUGAGUAACACGUGGGGAAUCUGCCCAGAAGCAGGGGAUAACACUUGGAAACAGGUGCUAAUACCGUAUAACAACAAAAUCCGCAUGGAUUUUGUUUGAAAGGUGGCUUCGGCUAUCACUUCUGGAUGAUCCCGCGGCGUAUUAGUUAGUUGGUGAGGUAAAGGCCCACCAAGACGAUGAUACGUAGCCGACCUGAGAGGGUAAUCGGCCACAUUGGGACUGAGACACGGCCCAAACUCCUACGGGAGGCAGCAGUAGGGAAUCUUCCACAAUGGACGAAAGUCUGAUGGAGCAAUGCCGCGUGAGUGAAGAAGGGUUUCGGCUCGUAAAACUCUGUUGUUAAAGAAGAACACCUUUGAGAGUAACUGUUCAAGGGUUGACGGUAUUUAACCAGAAAGCCACGGCUAACUACGUGCCAGCAGCCGCGGUAAUACGUAGGUGGCAAGCGUUGUCCGGAUUUAUUGGGCGUAAAGCGAGCGCAGGCGGUUUUUUAAGUCUGAUGUGAAAGCCUUCGGCUUAACCGGAGAAGUGCAUCGGAAACUGGGAGACUUGAGUGCAGAAGAGGACAGUGGAACUCCAUGUGUAGCGGUGGAAUGCGUAGAUAUAUGGAAGAACACCAGUGGCGAAGGCGGCUGUCUAGUCUGUAACUGACGCUGAGGCUCGAAAGCAUGGGUAGCGAACAGGAUUAGAUACCCUGGUAGUCCAUGCCGUAAACGAUGAGUGCUAAGUGUUGGAGGGUUUCCGCCCUUCAGUGCUGCAGCUAACGCAU